UCUGUCAAUGUGCAUUGAGGUUGUUUCUAUGUUUUGGCUCUUGUAAAUAGUGCUGCAAUGAACACAGAGGUGCAUGUAUCUUUCUUAAUGAAAGUUUUGUCCAGAUAUAUGUGCAGAAGUGGGAUUGUAUCAUAUGGUAGUUCUAUAUUUAGUUUUCUGAGGUACCUCCAUACUGUUUUCAUAGUGGUAGCAUUCCCACCUCUAGCAUAGGAAGGCUCCAUUUUCUCCACAUCCUCUCCAGUAUUUGCUAUUUGUAGACUUAUUAAUGAUAGCCAUUCUGGCCAGUGUGAAAUGGUACCUCAUUGGGGUUUUGAUUUGCAUUUCUCUGAUAAUUAGUGGUGUGAGCAUUUUUUCAUGUGCCUGUUGGGAAUCUGUAUGUCUUCUUUGGUCUUCUGCCCAUUUUUCAACUGGGCUGUUUGUUUUCUGUUGAGUUGUAUGAGUUGUUUGUAUAUUUGGGAGAUUAAGCCCUUGCCAGUUGCAACAUUUGCAACUAUUUUCUCCCAUUCCCUAGAUUGUCUUUUUUUAUGGUUUCCUUUUGUUUGUUUGUUUGUUUGUUUGUUUGUUUUUAUUUUCCCACUGUACAGCAAGGGGGUCAGGUUAUCCUUACAUGUAUACAUUACAAUUACAGUUUUUCCCCCACCCUUUCUUCUGUUGCAACAUUAGUAUCUAGACAUAGUUCUCAAUGCUAUUCAGCAGGAUCUCCUUGUAAAUCUAUUCUAAGUUGUGUCUGAUAAGCCCAAGCUCCCGAUCCCUCCCACUCCCUCCCCCUCCCAUCAGGCAACCACAAGUCUCUUCUCCAAGUCCAUGAUUUUCUUUUCUGAGGAGAUGGUUUCCUUUGCUGUGUAAAAGCAUGUCAGUUUAAUUAGGUCCCAUUGGUUUAUUUUUGCUUUUAUUUCUAUUGCCUUGGGAGACUGACCUAAGAAAAUAUUUGUAUGGUUGAUAUCUGAGAAUGUUUUGCCUAUUGUUCUUUUCUAGGAGUUUUAUGGUGUCUUAUGUUUAAGUAUUUAAGCCAUUUUGAGUUUAUUUCUGUGCAUGGUGUGAGGGUGUGUUCUAGUUCCAUUGAUUUACUUGCAUCUGUCCAGUUUUGCCAGCACCACUUGCUGAAGAGACAGUCUAUUCCCCAUUUUUAAACUUCUCUUUAUUUAAAACCACCAAAUGUGCCUUUUCUUUGCUGUAAGAACCCUAACACACCCUGGAACAGUUCUACAUCACUCAUCACAGUGCUCUCCCAAAGGAGCUCAGGGGAAGUCAGAGAGAUGGUCACUCUAGAAGGGUAGAACUAAAAAUGACCACUUAAUAAACAUCUCUCCACCUUCUUCUACUGACCAAGAUGCAUCUGUCUGGGAACUUUGUCAGAGAUGGUUGCAAAAUAAGUCCUGCAACACUGAUCUUUGUGUCAAUGACAAAGAAAAGGAUAUUUCUGAUAAAAAAUAAUGUGAGAACAGUAGAGAUAUUUAAAAUAAAUACAAAUGAGAAUUCCCAUUGUGGGGAAUGCAACAAGUGCAACUAGUAUUCAUGAGGAUAUGGGUUCAAUCCAUGGCCUCAUUCAAUGUGUCAGGGAUCCAACAUUUCCAUUAGCUAUGGUGUAGGUUACAGAUGUGGCUCAGAUCUCAUGUUGCUGUGGCUCUGGAGUAGGCCAGUGGCUACAGCUCUGAUUAUACCCUCUAGCCUGGGAACCUCCAUAUGCCAUAGAUGCAGUCCUAGAAAAGACAAAAAUAAAUAAAUAAAUAAAUAAAUAUUUUACCCCCAAAAAAUGUUCCCCGAAGAAAUAUGAUCAUUAUAUGACAGUUCCCUGUUUAUUUCUUUCUAGCAAUAUUAAAAAGCUGUAGAAUUUUUCUUAAUUGUUUUUAUUUAUUUCUGUCUCCCUCACUGCACAGAAGCUACUAGAGUGUCCAUGUGUGUACCCAUUAUUGCGUAUCCUCAUGGCAGGUGGUGCAGAGUAGUCACUCAAUUAAAAAUAUUUGUGAAUAAAUUAUUAAAAAUAAGGUUUCUUGGGUAACUGUUGUAUACUAAACACUGUAAUAAGAGCUUUCAUGGAGCUCAUAGCCAAGGUAGAAAAACAAAAAAAUAAAUAUUUGCAAUAGGGUGCCAUAAAUGCUGUGUAUCAGUUAAUAAAUUAAGAACUCUAUAUUCAUUAUGCCCCAUAAUUGUCCUCACACCUCAAAUGAGUUCUGUAUUGCUAUUAUUACCAUUUACAGAUGAGGAAACAUUAUGUGAGAAAAUAAGUAUUUUGCCUAGUUUCACACAUCCAGUAAAUAUUAAAGUUAGGUGUUGACCUUUUAUCUAUCUGAUAACUACCUAUUCUGUGUCAUGGAAGCACUGAGUAUGCAGUCAUUGAUUAAUUUAAUUAAUACUUAUAAGAGUGAAUAUUUUAUAUGUAAAUGCUUAUAUCAUGUACUAGUUAUGGGAGCUAGGUAUAUUGUAGUAAACAAAAAAGUCUCUUCCUUCAUUAAGCUGACACUCAAAAUUAAAAAGACAAACAACAAAAACAAAUCACUAUGUUAUAUAAUACCUGAGUCAUCAUUUUUGAAAAAAUUAAAGCAGAGUAGGAGGAUAAAAUAGUGAGUAGAUGGGUAAAUAUUGUAUUGGGGAAAUAAAAAAAUAAAUUUUUAAAGGCUACUUAAAAUUGAAUGGUCAAAGAAGUCCACUCUUAAAGCUCAGGAUUUUCUGGCUUAUUUAACAUCUUUUGGGCAUAUUUAAAAAGUCAGACCUUUCUCCAGGCAUACACAACCCUUUGAAUGGGCACUAGAGUGGCUCUCUGUUUCCAUGGCAAUUUUCAAAGCCCAGCCUCUCAUUUCUCAUACUAUACUUACUGCAAGAAUUUCCCAAUUUGUCUGUCUACCCCUCCUGCCCUCUGCUGUCAGAUUAACCUUAAUUAGCCUGGCCUAGCAAACCAAGCAGAGGCUGGAUUUCAGUCUCAAUUUCAAUCUCAUUGAGACAAAUUUUUAUAGAUGUUGAUUCAAAGCAAUAGCCUGUUUGAGAGAUGAUAUUUGAUUAAAGGUCUGAAUAAAAUAAGAGAUCAAGCUGUGAGGACAUGUGACAGGAAGAGAAUUUUUAACCCCCUAAAACCAGUGUAUGUUUGAUAUGUUACUGUAGAACAAGACAAUGUGGUGGAGUGAGCAAGAAGAAAAGAGUAGGAAAGGAGUUGAAGAGGUAGCCCUUGUAAGCCUGGUGAGGACUUUGCUUGUUAUUUUAAGGAUAAGGGGAACCCAUUAAAGUAGGAAGUUUAUGAAUUCUCUCUCUUAACAUGAAAAAAUCCUUCACAUAAGGAGGUAAGAUUAGAUCUGAAGAUAUGGGAAUGAGUUGGAAUCAUCUCAUGGAUAGAAGUUCCAUGUAGAAAGAAUCUGUAAGGUUAGAUAGUAUGAUCAGAAAUAAAAAUAGUUAGGGUACCUAAUCCUUGCUAGUGAAAAUGUCUAGCACAAACCAGCAGCAUUCACAUCACCAGAGAGGUUGUUAACGAUGCAAAAUUUUUGGCUUUUCUCUAGAUCUACUGAAUCAUAAUCUGUAUUAUAAACAAAAUUAGUAAAUGAAUUGUAAGCAUAACAAGGGAUAGUGGGUGAGAGAAUAUAAUAAGUGGUCCAGUGUUCAUAGAUUCCAGGCAUUAAGCAGGAAUAGAUAUAGAGGCUUAAGAGCUUAGAUUGGAGCUAUUGGCAAGGGCUUUGAGUACCAUAAUUAAGGUUCUAGAACAUUCUGCCAGAGAAAACAUUCCCAUAAUAAUGACUGCCUCAAAAUGGUUGAAUAACAGAAACUGCAAAAUUCAGCAUUUUUUUAAAGGAGAGAAAUUUCUUCCAUUAUUUUGUGCAAAAUUGAGUUAAAAAUACUGAUGGAGUUCUCAUUGUGGAUCAGUGGUAAUGAACCCAACUAGUAUCCAUGAGGAUGUGUGUUCCAUCCUCAGCACUGCUCAGUGGGUUAAGGAUUAAGUGUUUCCAUGAGCUAUGGUGUAAGUCACAGACACAUCUUGGAUCUGGCAUUGCUGUGACUGUGGUGUGGGCCAGUAGCUGUAGCUCCGACUUGAUCCCUAGCCUGGGGACUUCCAUAUGCCAAGGAUGUGGUCCUUAAAAAAAAUGGCUAUAGAAACAUGUAUUUUUUUUUCUUUAAAGGAGGCCACAUUACCUAUUUUAAAUAAAAACUAUUAUCUGUUUAUGUAUGGAUAAUCACUCCAUAUUAGUUUAUAUAUAUUCCUCAGAAGUUUUAAAUAUGCUGAACAAAAUGAGGAAAAAAAUAGUCCUCGUAGGUGUAUAUCAAUUCUUUUAAUUCCUCCUGUUAUAGAGGCCAGGUUAAAUUUCAAAUGUGGUCUUUCUAGGAAUGUAAAUGUGAUCAAUUAUGGGGCUUCUCGUCAUCUUUGAUUUGGCAUGCAGGCUGUACCACCUUUUCUUGCUUCCUAUUAAAUAUAAUAAAUCAGGCCACUCAGAAUUCAUCAAAAAAAGGAAUCAGAAUAGCAGGUAAAUUGAAAAAUUGAAAAAAUUACUUGAAUAUUAAUUUUCCAGACUACAAUGUUUCACAAGGUGAUCUCUAUUUUUCCUUAUGUUUUAAAAUCAUUUUAUUUUUUUAUUGUUAUUUCAGCAAAGUUGGGCCUCAAGAAGCAUUAGGAUAAACAGAAAGAGAUGGGAAACUACCCAAGGACCUGGAAGAUACACAGAUGAAAAUUACUACUCCUGGUAACAGCACAGAGGCAACAGAUUGAGAACUGACUGGGGCUCUGGAGUUUAUAAAACAACCUCAGUGCACACCACAGCCCAUACCAGGUGCUUUCUCCCCCCUCUUUCUCAAGUAUUGCUCUCAAUAGGGCAGAUGCUGCCAUUGCCAAAAUAGGGUGAGCAUACUUAAAGGGAAUGGAGCCAGCUCAGAUUGAACCCUGACUCUGAUCAAGGCAAAGGCAGCCAUUACCAGUGUACACAUCCCUGUAUGUGCAUACACUUGCUUGCUGCCAGCCACAGCAUGGAGGCAACAUAUUAAAAAUUGCCCAGUGAUCUGGCUGACUUACCACAACUGCUACAGCACACACCACAGCUGCACUUGCACCUGCUCCAGGCACCUGCACUAGUCACUCUUGAUCCAUUACUUCUUUCCACUAAGGUGGAAGCUACUGUUGCCAAAGAGAGUACACAUAGAGGGAAUGUAACAAGUUCUUGGAUCUGACCAUGUCUCUAACAAGGGUGCAGGCAACCUUUGCCAAUGCAUACAUCCCUGCCCACAUUCAGAAGGAGUGAAACUAACUCCAGGGCAGACACCAACAUUACUGGCAGGAAUUAAACCAGUU
rnacentral:lncRNA from 1 species